CUUGUUUCCUCUCCUUCCUUCCACAGGAGUUAUUUCCUAAUCAACGUCCUGCAUACCAAACUCUGUCUUUAUCAUCUGCUUCCGAACAACCCAACCUGAGACAUGAGUUCAUCCUGGCUGCCACAAGCAGGCUAACUGACCACAGCAACUGCUGGGAAGUUUGGAAGCUCUUCAUCUUCACCAAGUGGAGCCUUAUCCUGGCUGCCUAAGGCAGAUCUAUCUUCCUGCCUCACUUCCACCUCUGCUCCCAUGGAUUUCCCGAUUGCACACCGUCAAGGAAGCGCCCUUCCA
rnacentral:lncRNA from 1 species